AAAAUCUACAAAAGUGAACUGUAAGAGUUCACGAACGUCUGCGUGCACAAUUAUACAAACUUUACGGAACCAACGAACGAAAGCUUACAGCGUUUUACAGAAUCUCUCCAGAACCAACCUAUAAGAAGUUUGGAAAUCGUAUAGAAGCUUCGUAAGCAAAAGAGGCGAUAGAAUACUGCAGAAAUUGAGUAUCGAAUCGCGUUAAAAGAUCGAUCUGGCAUUCUGAUCCAACGUAAUAAUCUUCUUGACCAAGUAAAAGCAAAGUGUUUAACUACGAUCGAACGUGAGUGCCCUGUGUGAGUUCCUAGAACUCAGCUAUAAGAAGCUUGCAAACCUUAGAGAAGCAAGAAAGCCAAUAACAGAACACCACGGAAACUGGCUAUCGAUCGACGUUAAAAAAGGUCAAUCUGCUAACCAAAUCCAACGAAAUAAUCUACUUAAUUAAUUAGAAACAAAGCGUUUGGCUAUAAUCGAAAGUGAGUGCCCUGACCCUGCAACCGACUGAGAACUUUCGUCGAUUGUCUUGCCGAAGAUCUACCGGUCGCGUGAUUCAUCGAGGCCACCGGUUGAGCAGGUCAGGGACGCGAGUUCUGCGGCUUCAGGCCGGUGCACAUCCAACCUGGAUUUCUACACGAUUUAACGCGCGUCGGGCUUCGGGGACGCUGUGAGCGUGUCGGCGUGCAGACGGCCCGGCAUUAUCUCUGCAACGCGACGAUAAAGUUCCGCACGAGGGACACGAUAAAAGCACGCGGGUUCUGCUUGAUUAAUCGCGCGUCUCUAUUCACCGAUUUUGUUCUCGUUAGGACAAUCCGUGCUGGACCGAGCGCGACGAAAUAUAGCGAGGACGUUGCUCGGGGUUGGAAAGUGAGAAUAAUAAAUACAGGAGGUGAAUCUUCCGAUGGCAGGUGAAUUGUGAAGUGAAACGUGGAAUUGGAGGAAGUGGGAAGCAGUUGGGAUUGGAGAAACUGCAAAGUGAGAAGAACAGACACGUGUCCACGAAGAGCCGGUGAAAUACAACACAAACUACACUACGAAUCUUCUAACGCUACCUCCAACAGCAAACGUUAACGCAAAUCCUACAAACAGACACGAGUCAAACUCGAACAAAAUUCCAGGGUAAAACUGAAAAUUGUGCUAAUCCAAACCGAAAGAUCAUCCAUCAUCGAGUUAUUCCAACACUCCUGAGGCUUUCUUUUUUUUUUUUUCUUUUCUUGAGGAAAGCGGAGAAGCGUCCACCAAGGGGCGGUCGAUUGCAAACAAUUUCGCAACAGCAACGACGCGACAAAUUACCGUACGGUCGAGGAGGGAAAAAAAAACACGAGGAAAUUAGUCCCGUUCGGAGAAUGUGUACGGUGUUGUCGCGUACGAGCUGCGAUGCCCGAGAGGGUAGCUGGAGGGGGUGGUCGUGGCGAAAAAAGGGGCGCAGUCGCGGCGAACGGCCACCCCCGCGGACACGCUUGCUCGCGCGGCGGCUUGGUAGUCUCGGUCAGUCGUUGGCGGCCGAAAGUCGUGCGAAACAGGAAACCGAUGGAGGGAAGAGAGGAAGAGACGGAGUGAAGACAGAUCGAACGAUUUACUCGAGAAACGGUUCACGACAUCGACAAGCACGUGCUCCGAGCGUAAAAUAAGAAGAAAGAGAAAGGGAAAUAUGUUGCACAAGCACGGACGGAGGAAAAGCGGAGGAGGAAACGAAGAUCAAGGACAUCGGAAAGGUUCUGGCGGGUCUUGGCACUGGAAGAAUUCACAGAUGUGCAGUGUAUAAUCGUGGAUCUUGCAAUGCCAUCACUUGCUGGAUACCGAUUCACCGUGGACGAUCGAUCAUACCGAUAAUAAUUUCUAAUUAUUUUCAAAAUCGUUCCCAUCUUUGGCAAAUAUUUCUUCUUUUUUAGAGAAAGGACAACUUAACUCGUUAAACGGAAAAGACGAAUUAUAUUGUUAUUUGGAUUAUUUGGUUUCGAUACGAUCAGUUCUCUAUUUAACUUUGCUACUUUUUCUUGAUAAUUUUCGAUAGUCAAAUUCUUCUUGUUUGCUAAGAUGAAAGCAAGACCGAAAUAUAAAUGUUCGAAGAUUGCAGCAGGGUUAACUUCACGUUGUCAGGAUCCAACCUUUUACGUGGCAUCAACCUGGGAAAAUAAAUUACAUCAUAUUGCGGGAACCGAGAUCAACUUAAUAGAGAUUCAUUCGUCUUUAUUAACUUUUAAUUUCGUGGGUAUAAAAGUCCGUAAAAUGAUCUAUAACGAGGAGCCCCAAUUAACAGAUUUUGAUGGUGAACGAUUGUUGAAUUUUUCGUUUUUUUUAGUGUAGUAGUGUAAAGUUAAUGGUUCCUUUUAAUAAGAUUUUCUAUCAAUUCUCAAUAGCAUUACAAAUGUAUAAUAAUUUAUAACACCCUUUAUUUUCAUUUUCAAACAAUUACAAAGCCCUACCAUCUCGAUUCAAUCAAAUUCCAAAUCCAUUAGCAAACUCUAAAGAAGACGAGCAAAAGGUGACGAAAAUCGUUUUGCAACGAAGCAUUUUACAAUAUCGAACAUGCAGCUCUAUUAUACCGACUCCUAAUGAUCUUAACAAUCGUGUCAAUCACGAGAGUAAAGAUCUUGCGACACGAAAAGACAGGUAGCUAGGUGGCCACUCGAUCGAAUAUCGAUUCUAGGAGGAAUAUCGAAGAGGAUGGUUGCCUGGAGAAUCGUUCGAGCGUGUUGUUCAUUUUAAUCGGUGAAAGUAGAUGCAUUGGAGAAGAUUCACUUCGCUCGAUGCAUCUACGGUUGCACCGUCGAGCGUGUCGUUUCUGUUGUCGAUCGAAGAUUAACUACAUCUUCGUAGUGUUGCGAAUGAGACGCACGAAACCAUCUCAACGACGAUUUGCUCCGUUUACUUUCGAACAAAAACCGUUUUGCAUUUACAUUCGUAGAUCGAGUAACGUAUUUUGUAUCUUUGGUCAAAGGGAGAGACGCGUUUAAGAAGGAACAAUAAGAACAAACAUAUACAAUUGAGAUAAUAGAAGUUAAAAAUGAAAGUGAUAAAGAAUGGUUGGAGAGAAUAAUAAGUAAAACAAUAAAAACUAGUCUAAGAACUACUAUUUCAUAAUAAUCUUAACAAUAUGAUUUUCUUAAUCGUAUAGAGAUAUAUUUCUCUGACGGUGAAUUAAAUGGUACAACUUUUCUUCGUUGUUGCAGAAAAUUAUUUUAUUUUUUUAUUUACUAUCGAUUUCCACAGUAGUCAAUAUGUCAAUAUUUACAUGAAACGGAAAUAGAAAAUUGCUAGGCGAUAAUCGUACUUAGUCUGUGGCUAAAUUAGUACUAAUUCUAUCUAAACUAAUUUUUAUCAGUGUUUUCUUUAAAUGUCGAUAAGCAGCAAAACGAUCAAUGUUACGUAGGAUCAGUUUAAAAGAGAUAUCGGUUAAAUUGAUAAAAAAUCAUAUAUGGAAGCGUUAAUGAAGGAAGGAAAUUUACGAUCCUUUCACAACGUCAAUGAUCGAUAAAUUACUUUGCUCUUCUCAUAAACUUUCUCAAACGCAAGAGGUAUUUAGAAAUGAAAUUAACUCGUUUGAAGCACUGAAUUGAUAGAAGAAUUCAGAAAAAUAUAUUGCGAGGAAAAUAAUGAUAUUUAUCGUUAACGCGUUAUUGGAUUAGAU